rnacentral:rRNA from 1 species
UACAGAGGGUGCGAGCGUUAAUCGGAAUUACUGGGCGUAAAGGGUGCGCAGGCGGUUCUGCAAGUCAGGCGUGAAAGCCCCGGGCUUAACCUGGGAAUGGCGCUUGAAACUACAGGACUGGAGUAUGGCAGAGGGAGGUGGAAUUCCACGUGUAGCGGUGAAAUGCGUAGAGAUGUGGAGGAACACCGAUGGCGAAGGCAGCCUCCUGGGCCAAUACUGACGCUCAUGCACGAAAGCGUGGGGAGCAAACAGG